rnacentral:rRNA from 1 species
UACGAAGGGGGCUAGCGUUGCUCGGAAUUACUGGGCGUAAAGCGCACGUAGGCGGUCUUUUAAGUCGGGGGUGAAAUCCUGGAGCUCAACUCCAGAACUGCCUUCGAUACUGGAAGACUUGAGUCCGGGAGAGGUGAGUGGAACUGCGAGUGUAGAGGUGAAGUUCGUAGAUAUUCGCAAGAACACCAGUGGCGAAGGCGGCUCACUGGCCCGGUACUGACGCUGAGGUGCGAAAGCGUGGGGAGCAACGGG